GAUGAACGCUGGCGGCGUGCCUAAUACAUGCAAGUCGAGCGAACGGACGAGAAGCUUGCUUCUCUGAUGUUAGCGGCGGACGGGUGAGUAACACGUGGAUAACCUACCUAUAAGACUGGGAUAACUUCGGGAAACCGGAGCUAAUACCGGAUAAUAUUUUGAACCGCAUGGUUCAAAAGUGAAAGACGGUCUUGCUGUCACUUAUAGAUUGAUCCGCGCUGCAUUAGUUAGUUGGUAAGGUAACGGCUUACCAAGGCAACGAUGCAUAGCCGACCCGAGAGGGUGAUCGGCCACACUGGAACUGAGAAACGGUCCAGACUCCUACGGGAGGCAGCAGUAGGGAAUCUUCCGCGAUGGGCGAAAGCCUGACGGAGCAACGCCGCGUGAGUGAUGAAGGUCUUAGGAUCGUAAAACUCUGUUAUUAGGGAAGAACAUAUGUGUAAGUAACUGUGAACAUCUUGACGGUACCUAAUCAGAAAGCCACGGCUAACUCCGUG
rnacentral:rRNA from 1 species